GCACUGUGAACAUCCCUAUCCUGCUUUGUUCCAAUCUAAUUACCAGUGCAUGCAGCCCCCAGUCACGUACCUCCUGCUUGCUCAAUCGAUGACCACCCUCUCACGCGCAGCCCCCAAUCAUGUACCUCCUGCUUGCUCAAUCGAUGACGACCCUCUCACGCGCACCCCCUUAGAGUUGUGAGCCUUUAAAAGGGACAGGAAUUGCUCACUCAGGGAGCUUGGCUCUUGAGACAGGAGUCUUGCCGAUGCCCCCAGCCAAAUAAACCCCUUCCUUCUUUAACUGGGUGUCUGAGGAGUUUUGUCUGUGGCUCGUCCUGCUACAUUUCUUGGUUCCCUGACUGGGAAGUGAGGUGAUUGGUGGAUGGUUGAGGCAGCUCCUUAGGCGGCUUAAGCCUGCCCUGUGGAACAUGCCUGCUGGGGACUCCGACCAGCCUGAGAGACGCAGAUCCUGAGAGCGCUCCCGGGUACGCAUUUGCCCCGGUUGGACGCCUCGCCAGAGCAGUGUGUGGCAGGCUACCGUGGAGGAUCAACACAGUGGCUGAACACCAUGAAGGAGCAGGCACUUGGAGUCUGGACAUCUAAAACUUGGUGCGGUGUUUCUGCCUGAAAGCAGUGCUUGAUACCAGCACGAACUCUGCAUCUUCAGAAGUCCCACUGGGUGUUCUGGGUGGAGAACAGCAAUCACCUGGAAGCAUGUUUUUAUGAUUAUGGGAGGAAUCCUUUAGAGAACCUAUUCUUUUUCAUUAGGCAAAUAUAAGAUAAAUAGGUAAAUAGUUGCUUGGGUGGAAGGAUGUAACUGAUUUUCUGUGGCUUGGACAAUACUGCCAUUCUUGAGAUCCUUGAGUAUACAUGCUGUAGAGUGGAAAUAGACCAGUUUACAUAAGGAGCACCAGCACCAGGACUUCCAGACGAGAUCAAGAUCCCAAUCCUUCUACCCUGAGACUCCGUGUUACAGAAAGCAGUUGGUAUAUUGCGGCACUAUUCACAACAGCAAAGACUUGGAACCAACCCAAAUGUCCAACAAUGAUAGACUGGAUUAAGAAAAUGUGGCACAUAUAUACAAUGGAAUACUAUGCAGCCAUAAAAAUGAUGAGUUCAUGUCCUUUGUAGGGACAUGGAUGAAACUGGAAAUCAUCAUUCUCAGUAAACUAUCGCAAGGACAAAAAACCAAACACCGCAUGUUCUCACUCAUAGGCGGGAAUUGAACAAUGAGAAUACAUGGACACAGGAAGGGGAACAUCACACUCUGGGGACUGUUGUGGGGUGGAGGAAGGGGGGAGGGAUAGCAUUAGGAGAUUUACCUAAUGCUAAAUGACGAGUUAAUGGGUGCAGCACACCAGCAUGGCACAUGUAUACAUAUGUAACUAACCUGCACAUUGUGCACAUGUACCCUAAAACUUAAACGUAUAAUAAUAAUAAAAUAAAAAUUAAAAAAAGAAAGCUGUUGGUAUAAACAGCUGUCUUUAUAUACAGCAUGACCUAUAGUUGAUAUGCAGGGAGAAAAAGAUAACAAGAGUCUGAAAAAAGAACUUAAUAAGAGAAAAAUUUUAGUUGGUACCUAUGCUAAGCAGAAAGGAUUAUUGAGAAAUGGCUGGUUGGAAUGAAAUUAGAAUAAAGGUUGAACUUGGAAUGGUGUUGAAGAAAAUACUGAGUAUAUCAAAGAGCUAUGAACUUGAAGCCCAGCAGGAGUAAACAUAAUGUUGCCAGGAGGAAUUUGUACUUAAAUAUUAUUAUCGAAACAGAGGGCAUAGUAAAUUGUGUAGAACCAGUCUUCUAAAUGGCACCUAGUAGCAGCAUCUAAAGCAGUUAGAGUAAUGGUUGACUUACUGUAAUCAGUAAAGGUUAGAGUUGACUUAAGAUUUUAUUGGGAGAAGGAAGAUUCCCUGUUAAUCAGAAAAAGUGAAUGCUUUUGUGUCAUUUAUAAACACAUAGGAGAUAUGAAAGCAUCUGUGUUUAAAGAUAAUUAAGCAUUUCCUAUAGUUGGCAUUAGUCAGGACAGGGCAGGCACUACAGAGACACAGGUGCCACUCCGAUUAGAGAUAGUUUGUUACUAUCAUUUUGAAUACAAAACUCUUUUCACACCUCGGUAGGGGAGAGACUAUUGGGAGGUUUUUCUUGCAUCAGUAUGAAUACACUGGUCAUCUCUGCACCUGGCAUUCACAAGGAACUCUUAGUAUAGGGUAGACUUGGUCUUUGCCUUUAAGAGAUUUACUUCUCCAAGGUUAAACGAUGCUUAUAGAAAUAAUGAUUAGUGGCAUAAAAAAGUUAUUUGAAAUAAUCAGAUGGAAAAUACAUGGAAUUUUGAAGAAGGAAAAGAUUCCAUUUGACUAGUAUGAUGAAAAGCCUCAAUAGAAGGAAUGAAGACUGAGGAAAUACGUGAAUGAGGCAUGGAAUUUUAAUGAACAAUGAGAACAAAACUUGUAUCCUUUUCUCUUUUUUUCCUCUUGGGAACCAAAGAUAGAAGAGCGUUUUCACUAUAUUCUUUGCAGAAAUGCUUUUGUAUGUAGAAUGCGGAUGUUUAUUUGGCAAAAAGAAAUAUGUAACGUAUAGGUAUUAAUUCAUACAGAGAGAAAUUGCCUUAUUCUGCAGAAACCAAGGUAUGGUUUCUUUGCGUAGAGCAAUUAUUUUCCCUUGAAAAGCAAACUACCUUUUAAAAAUGAGGCAGUAAGUUUUAGUAUCAUGUUAAGCAGAAUAUUAUGGCUUUAAAAAUGUCUUAGAAUCAAAUUCAAGGCUAUGGUGUUCAGUAGUUGUUAAUUUCACUUCACUGAAAUGGGUUUUCUUUAUUACAAGACAUUGAAAGGAAAAACCCAAAAAGGCAGAAUGGUGUUAUUCCCACUGAUAAGGAAGAAUCAUCCCUCUGAUUUGCUGCUUUACUUAUCUUGUGAAUAUUUGAGCUCUCCUCUGGUUGAAUAUUUAUGUAUUUAUUUAUUUAUUUCAUGAAUUUUAUUUUUCAUUUAGAGCAUCAAGAAUAACUACUUAAAAGGAGCUCAGCAUAAAGAAUUGAAGUCUUUUAUGUUUUUCCCUUUUACUGACUCUGUAAAAGCAGAACGGUUCCAAUUGUUCCUUCCUUUCUUUUCUUUUUGUCUGCAUCAGUUUUGUUCCAGGCCUGUGCUUUUCAGGAAGACAUAACAAUACUAGAUGUAGGUGUAAUAAACCAUACAAAUGAGUGCCUCAGUAAUCAUGUUAUAUUUUAGUUUAAAUAGUCUGCACCACUGCUUGACAUUGUUAACUUUUUGGAAUAAAUGUUUAAUGAAAUUCUUCUUUACUAAUUUAAAUCCAAAUUCAGAAUAAUAUAUUCUGUGAAAUUACAGGUCUAUGAAUCAGGUGCAGAUUGUCACAGCAUUUUCUAACCACACAUUAAAAAAAUAAAACCUUUAUGCCCAAAGGUCAGCAAUAGUUAUCCCUAAAGCUGAAUGUUCACAUAUCAAAUGAUGAAGUGCAAAGUGGCAUUAAGUAACUGCAUAUCAAACACUGAAGAAUAUUUGGGGUAUUUUUUCUGUUUUAUUUUUGCCCCCCUCUCCCAAAUGUUAUUCAGGUGUAACAUUACACCUGAGGGGUAAACAAUCAUUAGUUUUUUUCCCCAAAUACUGAUAAGGAGAUAAUCUAAUGUAGCCGGACCUGAAAUAAUCCACAUAUCGAACCUGGCCUGAGAUUCUCUGAUAGGUAAACAAUGUAAAGAGAGAUAGUUGGAUAUGAGGUGAUUCCAUUGGACAUGAAUUUUAAAUAGAGUUAUACAUCACCUGUCUACGUUGUAAGCAGUAUUAAGGCCUCAAUAGAGGACAUUUUAUUUAGAAAGAUUUACAGCAAAAUUCUAAAUUUUGCUACUUAAGAAGAAUUAGAACGUUUAUUCAAUUGUGAUACUAAAAGAAUGUUUUAGUGAUCAUAUCUUCACUUUUCAUCUUAGAACCCUCAGAGCAAAAUUUAACAACUGCAAUAACUGUGAAUUCAGGCAGACUUUUUUAUGAUUAUCUUUUUGUAUUGAUCUAGGCUAUAAGCUCUUGAGUAGCUUUUGCAUGGUCCAGGCUUGUUUAUUAUUUUUGUCUUUUAUAAAUCCACAUACAUAUAUAUAAUAUAUAUAUCAUAUAUAGUAUGCGUAUUAUACACACACACACACACACACACACACACACACAUAUAUACAGUAUAUGUAAGUGGAAAACUGGAAUUUUUUACUCAAAUCAGUCUCCCCCAAAAUUUGGAGACUGGGAAUUUUUAAGAAUAAUUUGGCAGGCAGGGACUAGGGAAUGCAUACCACUGAUUGGUUGGGGUGAAAUCACAGGGGUGUGGAAAGUGGUCCUUGUGUGCUGAGUCAGCCCAAUAUGAGGGUCAACAAAAGUGAUUUUUAUCUAUUUUUACCUAUAAGUAAUUGGGGAAGUUACAAGUCUUAUGACCUUCAGAAUAAUGGCUGCUUAUCAUGUAACUAAACCUAUAUCUUAGCAGAAUCCAGGCCCCUCUCAUAAUCCUAACAUUAUGGGCUUUCAUUAGUACUACAAUGGCAGUUUUGGUCCCAAAUAUGGAAGGAGUGGUUUUUGGGAAGGGUUAUUAUCAUCCUUCCUUUAAGGUUAAACUACAAACAAAAUUCCUCCCGAAUUUAGUUUAAGCUAGAACCAGAAAUGAAGAAGGACACCUUGGAGGUUAGAAGUAAGAUGGAGUCAACAAUGUCAAAACAAUAUUCAGGGGGAAAAAACAAUCAUAGAGAUAUACCAUUUGUUGAAUAAUAUCUGCUAGUGAUUUUACCUAAAUUAACUACUUUAAUCCUGAAAGCAAUACAAUGAUAACAGAGUUAGUAGAUUUUAGAGAUAAAGAGCUCAACCUUGAAAGAAGUUAACAGUUUCCUAAUGUCCCUUUGUUACCCUCAUUCAACCAAGGUCUCUAAAUGCUAAACAGAUGCUCUUCCCACCCCACCCUCAUUGAGCAGGCUUCCAGCAAUAAGUGGGGACAAUGGAGCAAAUACACAAACUUAAGUGCUCACCAGUAGUGUCCAAACAUAUGGUGUCAUAAUCACCUCCCCUAAUAAUUCCUGUUCCUGUUUCACAG
rnacentral:lncRNA from 1 species